GUUCGUUGUAGACUGGGAGCCAAUCGUGUCUUGAACUGUAUUGGUCCAUGGUGGCUGUGCCACUGCCAAUUCUUUUGGAGUGUGUCUUCUGGAAUCGGCGGCCCCAUCACCAGGGUGCUGCGCCCGAUGGCCGGGCGGGUCCGGCCACUUGGGAACUUUCUUGGGGAUCCCGGGCCUCAUUGUUGGUUUCUUCAUCUAGGUUCCGGGGCCUCAGUUGGGUUUCUUCAUCUUGGUUCCCAGGCCUGUUUUGUUCACAAUCAUUGCAUCGUGGAGUUGAACUGUUCUUGAAUGCUUUGCAGUGGAGUUUCUGGUAAAUUAUACCCACCCUAUUCUGAUAAAUUGUACUGUCGCCCUGCUCUG
rnacentral:lncRNA from 1 species